rnacentral:lncRNA from 1 species
UUUUCUCUUACCUUGAUUUUCUCUCUCCAUAAUUUUCUAUCCCGAGGUUUUUUUCUCUAUUUAGUUUUCUCUCUAGUAGGUUCUCUCUUUUAGGUUUUCUUUCUAUAAUUUCCCCCACUAUUAAUCCUUUUUAUUUCUCCUAUUUCUCUCUCCAAUAGGAUCUCUCUAACAGUAUCUUUAGGAUUAAAUGGUAGAAUUAAACCA